rnacentral:rRNA from 1 species
UACGGAAGGCAGCAGGGGGAAUAUUGCACAAUGGGCGCAAGCCUGAUGCAGCCAUGCCGCGUGUAUGAAAAAGGCCUUCGGGUUGUAAAGUACUUUUCAGUCGUGAGGAAGGUGUUAAGGUUAAUAACCUUAGCAAUUGACGUUAGCGACAGAAGAAGCACCGGCUAACUCCGUGCCAGCAGCCGCGGUAAUACGGAGGGUGCGAGCGUUAAUCGGAAUUACUGGGCGUAAAGGGCACGCAGGCGGUUAAUUAAGUUGGAUGUGAAAUCCCCGGGCUUAACCUGGGAAUGGCAUUCAAGACUGGUUAGCUAGAGUCUUGUAGAGGGGGUAGAAUUCCAUGUGUAGCGGUGAAAUGCGUAGAGAUGUGGAGGAAUACCGGUGGCGAAGGCGGCCCCUGGACAAAGACUGACGCUCAUGUGCGAAAGCGUGGGGAGCGAAACAGGGAUUAGAUACCCG